AUUUUGGCUGCAAGCAUGCAUAAUUAUUUAUAAGAAUUUUUGGAGUCAUGUUGGGGAAUAUGGCCUACAAUGGGAUUUUAUUCUAGCCGUGUAUGACCCAAUAAAAAUGCGCCCGAACAGAAUUCCGAUCGAUUUUUUCCCCCUACUAAACGACUGCAUUUUUACUCCACCCAAAAUAUUACCUCAAAUCCACCAAUUUGUAAUCUAUCCAAAUCGAAAUGAUUCCGAAAAAAAAAUAAAAAAUCUAAAAAUUCGGAGACGGGCAAUCACUCGCUGGCUCCGAAACAAUUUUACGUACAAAAAAGUAAGAAAUAAAUCAUAUUGAUAAAUUUACUGGUGCGUGGUAUAUAGUUGGGGUUUCGAGUUGCCAUUAAAUAUUCCGGAAUAAUAAAAAAGAAAAAAAAGUUGGAGAUAUCAAAUCAGAAACGCCAUCUAGCGAGAAGUACUUUUACCAGGAUGAAGAGAUCAUAGCUUUAAAGCGGAAACAAGCCAACGACAGUCACUCAGCAGGGAACACCGUUGCUUCCAGGUGAGAAAAUUCGAUUGAAUAGCACCAGCAAGUCUUUUUCCUUUACUUCUAUCCUAGGUUCCCGCGAGAAUCUCUUACCAACUACUCCAUACUUUACAAGGCAGAUUCGACCAAUGCUCUCUCUUUUUCCAGCACGAGUAUCUUUUUUCCUGUACAGAAGGCAACGUAUUUACAUUCGUCGAGUCGCUAGAAUCUCUCCCUAUCGGUUUAGCAUUUUCCGUCUUGUAUAACGGUAAGUGUUUCCGGCAGGAAGCUGUCGAUAUUCCCGCUAUUUCAGUCGACACACAUGGCUGGAUGGUAUCGAUCCUUUACUUCUACCACCAGAAGUGUCCUGUGACAGCAGUUGAUUUGUCCGUGGGGUUGAAUGGGGGUUGGAAAUCCUAUCGUUUCGCCCUACAGCGCGUAGUGUAGUGUAACGUGGAAAUUGCUUUUUCAACAUCAACGAAAAUCUCCCGGGGAAGGUAGAGACGAGGUAUUUGGAUGUUCCGCCUUGCUAGCCUCACAGAUUCGGAGGCACCGACUUAACUAUGGGAGGUACGCUAUCAUAAAUCAGUAAUAGAUUCUCUUCCCAAUAGAUGUCGGAUCUCUCUCUUGCACACACUCGUCACAGAUCGAUUAAAUUGUCGACCGCAAUGCGAAAGUCGUCAUGUUAACAAUUUGUUAAGUCUGGAUGUUAAGGAGGAGUCUUCCAACCAGCCAGAAAUAUUUUGUCUUUCUCCAGCUUCGAAUGUUUUAUGAUGCAAUUUUUAAUCCUAUUAACCACUUACUCGGUUUCCUGCAAAACGAUACGGAAAUCUUUUUUUUUUUUUUUUUUCCUAUCCAAUUUUUUCCCUUC
rnacentral:lncRNA from 1 species